rnacentral:rRNA from 1 species
AUUGAACGCUGGCGGCAUGCUUUACACAUGCAAGUCGAGCGGCAGCGCGGGGGCAACCCUGGCGGCGAGCGGCGAACGGGUGAGUAAUGCAUCGGAACGUAUCCUCCAGUGGGGGAUAACCCAGCGAAAGUUGGGCUAAUACCGCAUGAGCUCUGAGGAGGAAAGCGGGGGACCUGCGAGGGCCUCGCGCUGGAGGAGCGGCCGAUGUCCGAUUAGCUAGUUGGUGGGGUAAAGGCUUACCAAGGCGACGAUCGGUAGCUGGUCUGAGAGGAUGAUCAGCCAGACUGGGACUGAGACACGGCCCAGACUCCUACGGGCGGCAGCAGUGGGGAAUUUUGGACAAUGGGGGCAACCCUGAUCCAGCCAUGCCGCGUGAGUGAAGAAGGCCUUCGGGUUGUAAAGCUCUUUCGGACGGAACGAAAUGGGCGGGACUAAUACUCCUGUCUGAUGACGGUACCGUAAGAAGAAGCACCGGCUAACUACGUG